UACAGGGGGUGCAAACGUUGCUCGGAAUCAUUGGGCGUAAAGCGCACGUAGGCGGUCUGUUAUGUCGGAUGUGAAAGCCCUUGGCUCAACUGAGGAAGUGCAUCCGAAACUGGCAGGCUAGAGUACUAAAGAGGAUCGCGGAAUUCCCGGUGUAGAGGUGAAAUUCGUAGAUAUCGGGAGGAACACCGGUGGCGAAGGCGGGUCUCUGGACAGUUCCUGACACUGAGACACGAAGGCCAGGGGAGCAAACGGG
rnacentral:rRNA from 1 species